UAGGAAAAGAAGUAAUUGAGGUUUUAGUUUUAAAAAAAAAACGAAUUAAAGAGGGCUUCGGGAUAGGGAAUAUGCUGGCGACGUGAAUAAGGGAUAGAGGGGCAUCGAAGUCUUCUUUGAUAAUCACUGGUAACAGAUUAAUUUUAGAGCAAAAGAGUUGGUGUGCUAACUCGUUAACGGACGAGGCUAAGGGAAAAGCUUCAGAUUGAGGCCGUUUGGUUGGUGUUCUUGACGUUGCAAGGUUGGAGAACUUCCCGUUAGUAAGAGGUAUUCAAAGUGGCGGGUCGAGGAUUUUACUGGGUUAUAUUUAUGUAUAACUCACUCCUUACCUGCAUCUCUAUGCGGAUACUAUUGCGGACAAUAGAGCUAGUGGCUGAAGAGUUCGUUCGGACCGAUUCUGUUGCUGAGGUGAGCCACCGCAUUGUUUGUGGAGGCUGUCACUGCACCUUUAUCCAGUUUAUGUUAGUUAUUUCCUUUUCUUUGGGGUUUGCAUACCCGCCAGUUUAACUCAUUCACUCUGUUAGAUAAUCCAUGGUCUUAGUGUGGGUUUUGAGUUAGAGUAUUAUUAUUUGAGUAACUGUUGGUCAUUCUAUCAAUUGACUAAGGUAUUGGUUGGUAACUAUUUUAUUUUUUUAAA